rnacentral:rRNA from 1 species
CCCAGACUCCUACGGGAGGCAGCAGUGGGGAAUAUUGCACAAUGGGCGAAAGCCUGAUGCAGCAACGCCGCGUGAAGGAAGACGGUUUUCGGAUUGUAAACUUCUGUUCUUAGUGAAGAAUAAUGACGGUAACUAAGGAGCAAGCCACGGCUAACUCCGUGCCAGCAGCCGCGGUAAUACGGAGGAUGCGAGCGUUAUCCGGAUUUAUUGGGUUUAAAGGGUGCGCAGGCGGCCUGUUAAGUCAGCGGUAAAGCCGGGGGGCUAACCCCCGGCGAGCCGUUGAAACUGGCGGGCUGGAGUUGGAGAGAAGUACGCGGAAUGCGCGGUGUAGCGGUGAAAUGCUUAGAUAUCGCGCAGAACCCCGAUUGCGAAGGCAGCGUACCGGCUCCACACUGACGCUGAGGCACGAAAGCGUGGGUAUCGAACAGGAUUAGAUACCCUAGUA